AGGACGAACGCUGGCGGCGUGCUUAACACAUGCAAGUCGAGCGGUAAGGCCUUUCGGGGUACACGAGCGGCGAACGGGUGAGUAACACGUGGGUGAUCUGCCCUGCACUUCGGGAUAAGCCUGGGAAACUGGGUCUAAUACCGGAUAUGACUUCAGGUUGCAUGACUUGGGGUGGAAAGAUUUAUCGGUGCAGGAUGGGCCCGCGGCCUAUCAGCUUGUUGGUGGGUAAUGGCCUACCAAGGCGACGACGGGUA
rnacentral:rRNA from 1 species